GGGCCCGUAGCUCAGCCUGGAAGAGCGGCGGGCUUUUAACCCGUAGACGUGCUGGCGGAAGUCCCGGGUUCAAAUCCCGGCGGGCCCGCCA
rnacentral:tRNA from 1 species